AAAUAGAUACCCCGGUAGUCCACGCCGUAAACGAUGAGUGCUAAGUGUUAGAGGGUUUCCGCCCUUUAGUGCUGCAGCUAACGCAUUAAGCACUCCGCCUGGGGAGUACGGCCGCAAGGCUGAAACUCAAAGGGAAUUGACGGGGGCCCGCACAAGCGGUGGAGCAUGUGGUUUAAUUCGAAGCAACGCGAAGAACCUUACCAGGUCUUGACAUCCUCUGCCAACCCUAGAGAUAGGGCGUUCCCCUUCGGGGGACAGAGUGACAGGUGGUGCAUGGUUGUCGUCAGCUCGUGUCGUGAGAUGUUGGGUUAAGUCCCGCAACGAGCGCAACCCUUGAUCUUAGUUGCCAGCAUUCAGUUGGGCACUCUAAGGUGACUGCCGGUGACAAACCGGAGGAAGGUGGGGAUGACGUCAAAUCAUCAUGCCCCUUAUGACCUGGGCUACACACGUGCUACAAUGGAUGGUACAAAGAGCUGCGAACCCGCGAGGGUAAGCGAAUCUCAUAAAGCCAUUCUCAGUUCGGAUUGUAGG
rnacentral:rRNA from 1 species